AGAGUUUGAUCAUGGCUCAGGACGAACGCUGGCGGCGUGCUUAACACAUGCAAGUCGAACGCGCUUUGCUCCUUCGGGAGUAAAGCGAGUGGCGAACGGGUGAGUAACACGUGAGCAACCUGCCCUUGACCCUGGAAUAACAGCUGGAAACAGCUGCUAAUACCGGAUACGACCUUCGAUGGCAUCAUCUGGAGGUGGAAAGCUCCGACGGUCAAGGAUGGGCUCGCGGCCUAUCAGCUUGUUGGUGAGGUAACGGCUCACCAAGGCUUCGACGGGUAGCCGGCCUGAGAGGGCGACCGGCCACACUGGGACUGAGAUACGGCCCAGACUCCUACGGGAGGCAGCAGUGGGGAAUAUUGCACAAUGGGCGCAAGCCUGAUGCAGCAACGCCGCGUGCGGGAUGACGGCCUUCGGGUUGUAAACCGCUUUCAGUAGGGACGAAGGUAACCUGACGGUACCUACAGAAGAAGGACCGGCCAACUACGUGCCAGCAGCGGCGGUAAUAC
rnacentral:rRNA from 1 species